GACGAACGCUGGCGGCGUGCUUAACACAUGCAAGUCGAGCGAUGAAACACCUUCGGGUGUGAAUUAGCGGCGAACGGGUGAGGAACACGUGAGAAAUCUGCCUUCAACACUGGGAUAACUCCGGGAAACCGGGGCUAAUACCGGAUAUGAAAUCUGCGGGCAUCCGCGGAUUUGGAAAGUUUUUCGGUUGAAGAUGAUCUCGCGGCCUAUCAGCUUGUUGGUGAGGUAAUGGCUCACCAAGGCGACGACGGGUAGCCGGCCUGAGAGGGCGACCGGCCACACUGGGACUGAGACACGGCCCAGACUCCUACGGGAGGCAGCAGUGGGGAAUAUUGGGCAAUAGAGGAAACUCUGACCCAGCGACGCCGCGUGCGGGAUGAAGGCCUUCGGGUUGUAAACCGCUUUCAGCAGGGAAGAAGCGAAAGUGACGGUACCUGCAGAAGAAGCACCGGCUAACUAUGUGCCAGCAGCCGCGGUAAUACAUAGGGUGCAAGCGUUGUCCGGAAUUAUUGGGCGUAAAGAGCUCGUAGGUGGUUCGUCACGUCGGAUGUGAAACUCUGGGGCUUAACCCCAGACCUGCAUUCGAUACGGGCGAGCUUGAGUAUGGUAGGGGAGUCUGGAAUUCCUGGUGUAGCGGUGGAAUGCGCAGAUAUCAGGAGGAACACCAAUGGCGAAGGCAGGACUCUGGGCCAUUACUGACACUGAGGAGCGAAAGCGUGGGGAGCGAACAGGAUUAGAUACCCUGGUAGUCCACGCCGUAAACGGUGGGCACUAGUUGUGGGGACCUUCCACGGUCUCUGCGACGCAGCUAACGCAUUAAGUGCCCCGCCUGGGGAGUACGAUCGCAAGAUUAAAACUCAAAGGAAUUGACGGGGCCCCGC
rnacentral:rRNA from 1 species